rnacentral:rRNA from 1 species
GAUGAACGCUGGCGGCGUGCCUAAUACAUGCAAGUCGAGCGAACAGACGAGGAGCUUGCUCCUCUGACGUUAGAGGCGGACGGGUGAGUAACACGUGGAUAACCUACCUAUAAGACUGGGAUAACUUCGGGAAACCGGAGCUAAUACCGGAUAAUAUAUUGAACCGCAUGGUUCAAUAGUGAAAGACGGUUUUGCUGUCACUUAUAGAUGGAUCCGCGCCGCAUUAGCUAGUUGGUAAGGUAACGGCUUACCAAGGCGACGAUGCGUAGCCGACCUGAGAGGGUGAUCGGCCACACUGGAACUGAGACACGGUCCAGACUCCUACGGGAGGCAGCAGUAGGGAAUCUUCCGCAAUGGGCGAAAGCCUGACGGAGCAACGCCGCGUGAGUGAUGAAGGUCUUCGGAUCGUAAAACUCUGUUAUUAGGGAAGAACAAAUGUGUAAGUAACUAUGCACGUCUUGACGGUACCUAAUCAGAAAGCCACGGCUAACUACGUG